CAGCCCUAAACGAUGCGCGUUAGGUGUAUCGGUGACCACGAGUCACCGAGGUGCCGAAGGGAAACCGUGAAACGUGCCGCCUGGGAAGUACGGUCGCAAGGCUGAAACUUAAAGGAAUUGGCGGGGGAGCACCACAACCGGGUGGAGCCUGCGGUUUAAUUGGACUCAACGCCGGGAAGCUCACCGGAUAAGACAGCGGAAUGAUUGCCGGGCUGAAGACCCUGCAUGACCAGCUGAGAGGAGGUGCAUGGCGUA
rnacentral:rRNA from 1 species